CAGUCGCCGCGGUAAAACGGAGGGGGCUAGCGUUGUUCGGAAUUAUUGGGCGUAAAGAGCUCGUAGGCGGUUUGUCGCGUCUGCUGUGAAAACUGGAGGCUCAACCUCCAGCCUGCAGUGGGUACGGGCAGACUAGAGUGCGGUAGGGGAGAUUGGAAUUCCUGGUGUAGCGGUGGAAUGCGCAGAUAUCAGGAGGAACACCGAUGGCGAAGGCAGAUCUCUGGGCCGUAACUGACGCUGAGGAGCGAAAGCAUGGGGAGCGAACAGGAUUAGAUACCCCCGUAGUCCCUGUCUCUUAUAC
rnacentral:rRNA from 1 species